rnacentral:rRNA from 1 species
UACGUAGGGCGCAAGCGUUGUCCGGAAUUAUUGGGCGUAAAGAGCUCGUAGGUGGUCUGUUGCGUCCGCUGUGAAAACCCAAGGCUUAACCCUGGGCUGGCAGUGGAUACGGGCAGACUAGAGGUAGGUAGGGGAGAAUGGAAUUCCCGGUGUAGCGGUGAAAUGCGCAGAUAUCGGGAGGAACACCGGUGGCGAAGGCGGUUCUCUGGGCCGUGCCUGACACUGAGGAGCGAAAGCGUGGGGAGCGAACAGG